GAUUGGCUCAGGACGAACGCUGGCGGCGCGCCUAACACAUGCAAGUCGAACGAGAGAGAAGGAGCUUGCUUCUUCGAUCGAGUGGCGAACGGGUGAGUAACGCGUGAGGAACCUGCCUCAAAGAGGGGGACAACAGUUGGAAACGACUGCUAAUACCGCAUAAGCCCACGGGUCGGCAUCGAUCUGAGGGAAAAGGAGCAAUCCGCUUUGAGAUGGCCUCGCGUCCGAUUAGCUAGUUGGUG
rnacentral:rRNA from 1 species